AGACGAAACCUGACCACAUGGGACAAAUCACUGCUAAACUACAUAAAGAAGAAAAAUCUUGUUAACUGCACAACUUCUUAUCACGAACCAUUAGAAAAAGGGCCCCUCAGGCGCUAUUACUAUAACGUUACUACGAAAGAGUGCCAAAGAGUCUACGCUAAUAGCGACCACUUUUUUCCAACGUUCCGUCUUUGCGUGGAAAUGUGCAAGCCAAAUGUGACCGCGUUGGCUCGCUGUCGUUUGCCCAUGAACAUCGGUGAAGAUCCGAUAGAAGGAUGGAAAUGCCACGAAAACCUUACACCCCAAGAGCUCACCUGCUAUAAGCCAAGACGAUCGUCUUAAAUAAAGCAUUCAAUA